GUGGGGAAUCUUGCGCAAUGGGCGAAAGCCUGACGCAGCCAUGCCGCGUGAAUGAUGAAGGUCUUAGGAUUGUAAAAUUCUUUCACCGGGGACGAUAAUGACGGUACCCGGAGAAGAAGCCCCGGCUAACUUCGUGCCAGCAGCCGCGGUAAUACGAAGGGGGCUAGCGUUGCUCGGAAUUACUGGGCGUAAAGGGCGCGUAGGCGGACAGUUUAGUCAGAGGUGAAAGCCCAGGGCUCAACCGUGGAAUUGCCUUUGAUACUGGCUGUCUUGAGUACGGGAGAGGUGAGUGGAACUCCGAGUGUAGAGGUGAAAUUCGUAGAUAUUCGGAAGAACACCAGUGGCGAAGGCGACUCACUGGCCCGUUACUGACGCUGAGGCGCGAAAGCGUGGGGAGCAAACAGGAUUAGAUACCCUAGUAGUCC
rnacentral:rRNA from 1 species